GGCUAUAUAGCUCAGCUGGUUAGAGCACGUCACUCAUAAUGACGGGGUCGGUGGUUCGAGUCCACCUAUAGCCACCA
rnacentral:tRNA from 1 species